rnacentral:rRNA from 1 species
UACGUAGGGUGCAAGCGUUGUCCGAAAUUAUUGGGCGUAAAGAGCUCGUAGGCGGUUUGUCACGUCGGCCGUGAAAACUCGGGGCUCAACCCCGAGCCUGCGGUCGAUACGGGCAGACUAGAGUGCUGUAGGGGAGACUGGAAUUCCUGGUGUAGCGGUGAAAUGCGCAGAUAUCAGGAGGAACACCGAUGGCGAAGGCAGGUCUCUGGGCCACUACUGACGCUGAGAAGCGAAAGCAUGGGGAGCGAACAGG